rnacentral:rRNA from 1 species
GUAGGGAAUAUUGCACAAUGGAGGAAACUCUGAUGCAGCGACGCCGCGUGAGUGAUGAAGGUUUUCGGACUGUAAAGCUCUGUUGUUUAGGACGAAAGUGCCUGUUGCAAAUAGUUACAGGUAUUGACGGUACUGAACGAGGAAGCCACGGCUAACUACGUGCCAGCAGCCGCGGUAAUACGUAGGUGGCAAGCGUUGUCCGGAAUUAUUGGGCGUAAAGAGCAUGUAGGCGGGAAUCUAAGUCUGUUGUGAAAAUGCGGGGCUCAACCCCGUAUUGCGAUGGAAACUGGGUUUCUUGAGUGCAGGAGAGGAAAGGGGAAUUCCCAGUGUAGCGGUGAAAUGCGUAGAUAUUGGGAGGAACACCAGUGGCGAAGGCGCCUUUCUGGACUGUGUCUGACGCUGAGAUGCGAAAGCCAGGGUAGCGAACGGGAUUAGAAACCCGUGUAGUCC